UCGAGCGGGCGUAGCAAUACGUCAGCGGCAGGCGGGUGAGUAACGCGUGGGAACGUACCUUUUGGUUCGGAACAACCCAGGGAAACUUGGGCUAAUACCGGAUAAGCCCUUACGGGGAAAGGUUUAUCGCCGAAAGAUCGGCCCGCGUCUGAUUAGCUAGUUGGUGAGGUAAUGGCUCACCAAGGCGACGAUCAGUAGCUGGUCUGAGAGGAUGAUCAGCCACAUUGGGACUGAGACACGGCCCAAACUCCUACGGGAGGCAGCAGUGGGGAAUAUUGGACAAUGGGCGCAAGCCUGAUCCAGCCAUGCCGCGUGAGUGAUGAAGGCCCUAGGGUUGUAAAGCUCUUUUGUGCGGGAAGAUAAUGACGGUACCGCAAGAAUAAGCCCCGGCUAACUUCGUGCCAGCAGCCGCGGUAAUACGAAGGGGGCUAGCGUUG
rnacentral:rRNA from 1 species